AUGAAAAGCUGUUUAGGAAGCAAACCCUGCUCACCAUUAUUUUGCAAUUACCCUAUCUUGGACUACUUUUUGGUCUUCAAAGUUAUUUUCUUGCUCCUGAAUUUGAUUAAGAACAUGUAAAAUGUACACGAGACCAGAUCAAAUUUUCCGGAUAGAAUUCCAAUAAUUUCAAUGCCUAGAGUUGGAGUCCAUAAUAAGACAGGAAAACUUUUAGAAGUAUAUGUUUCCCACCACCACUCGCUCUUUAUCUGCAAAGGGCCAUGUAUGUGGUUAUGGAAGUAGGCCUGAACUAGAAGGUAAGCUCAUUAAAGCUUGGCUGGAGCUCAGUCUUAACCAUGUACGAGUUCAUGACUCGACCGGUUUAUGUAAGCGGAAUGGAGUUGUUCACUGAAGUUAAAGUGUGACUCGGUUCAAAAGAUACCUUGUUCGAGUUGUUGCAAGAAACGAUUCGCACAACUCCUCCUUUUAAAUAUUAAACCGCUUUCCAAAUGUGACACGAACGAUCGGGCGGCGGCGGAAUUCUUUCUUUCGCUCCUCCACUCAUCCUCGGUGGUCGUCAAGUCCUCCGUCGCCUUGCCUUGCAUCUUCUUCGACGUUCGUCGAGUUCUUCACUCCCGACUACCGCUCUCCCUGGCCGGCCACCGCGUCCUCCAACUCUCCGACGGUCGAUCUCCCGUCCGGCGUCCUCAAGUGGAUCAUGUGAGCAAAAUUGAUCUGUGAUCGUGGGUAUGAACUUGUUCGUGGAUGCUGUUUGGAGUAGUUUUUCGUGGAACAACCUCAUUCGUCAGGUUACUCAGUUCCCGUACUAUGAGUUUGUAGAUCGCUCAGCAACGUACAGAGUGGGAUCAUUGUUCUAUGCAAUUUACUUUAUAGUUAGCUUCCCCAUGUUCAUAAGGUGAUGUUAAAAGCAGGAAAAUAUGAGCUUGUUCACAAGUUUUUUUGAAAAAUGAGAAAAAGAGGACUUGCUCCAAAUUCUCACACAUAUAAAGUUCUUGUGACUGCCUAUUGGAGAGAAGGUAAGAUAGGCGAUGCUGUUGAAGCAGUUUUGGAUAUGGAACGGAGGGGAGUAGUUGGGUCAGCUAGUGUGGGAAACAUCAGAUGAUGAUUUCAAGGAACAAAAUUGGAAUCCUGUCAAUGACAAACAGGCAGCUGCAAGGGUUUGGAGAGCUGGACAGAAGAAGCGAGUGUACAUAUGUACAGGUUCCUAACAGCAGGAACUAUUGAGGAAAAGGUCUAUCAAUGUCAGAAGAAGGCCUUCAGAAAGUAAUUCAACAAGAGCAAUUGGAAAACCUUGGACUGCAAAUCUUCUUUCUACAUAAAACUUGAGGGAUCUUUUUACACUGCAUGCUAACAUAAGCAUUUCUGUGACUCUCGGCAAGCUGGUCUGAUAAAAGAGUUACUGCAUGUAAUUGAUUGCAUGAGGAAACGACCUUCAAAAUUAUUACAAAAAAUGCAUCGUAAAGACUGGAAUCGUUGUUUGGAACCUGAUGUGGUGGUCUACGACUCAGUAAGUAUUAGUGAUGUUUAUUGUUAAUCCAAGAAUGAGGUAGGUGCAACACCAGCAAACCUGAUGAGUACUUAAGGCCUAAGGGCAUCACUAUUUACAUGGUGUUGCGUCCUGGGGUAGUUUUGGCAUUUCUAGUGCCUUUUUAAGCUGGCAUCUGGACAGUGGCUGAAAGACCAACCAAAUUCAUCUUAGGUUCGAGCAGCUGAGUGGAUAGUCAUUUAACCUAUUGUUUUCAUUUUUUAUUUCUAGGUGUUAAAUGCUUGUGCCACUCAUAAGCAGUGGAAAGGAGCACUUUGGGUGCUUGAAAAGCUCAAGCAUAAUGGCCUAAAACCUUCUUCAGCAACUUAUGGCCUUGCAAUGGAGGUGAUGUUAAAAGCAGGAAAAUAUGAGCUUGUUCACAAGUUUUUUUGAAAAAUGAGAAAAAGAGGACUUGCUCCAAAUUCUCACACAUAUAAAGUUCUUGUGACUGCCUAUUGGAGAGAAGGUAAGAUAGACGAUGCUGUUGAAGCAGUUUUGGAUAUGGAACGGAGGGGAGUAGUUGGGUCAGCUAGUGUGGGAAACCUCAGAUGAUGAUUUCAAGGAACAAAGUAAUGCAAUACCGACUAUCCCUCGGCGUCAUGCGGGCGAAAUAGGCCUGAAAAUGUCAGCCCAUGAGAACUUGAUUCUUUUGGUAAAUAUAAUCUCAUCAAGUUCAUGGGUUUGUGUGUCACAUUCUGAUAGAGUCUUGAAUUGCAUA